rnacentral:lncRNA from 1 species
UCCCUCCCCCAGCUCUCCCUUUCUCUGCCCACACCGCUGGAACAGAAUUUAGAGGUUUGUUUACUCCUCCUCCCCGCCCCGCGCACUUUUAACAGGAAGAGAUUCUGCAACAACCAACAAAUCAGACAUAGAUGUGGUUGUCGUUUCUCCUAAAGAAGAAGAAAAAAACUACUUUGGAGCGGGGGUGAGGAGUUGGAGACUGAAUUUGAGAAAAAAUUUAUAACGCACCCUGACCCAGUCGCAGUGAGACCCAUUAUCCCACUGUUCACCUAUCUUCACAGUAACCCAAGAGAAGUGAGCGUGUAAGAACAGUGCUUAACACCGCCGGCCUCGGGUUAGUGAGGAGCGAGAAGCGUUUCAGAGGCCAGGUUGGAUUCAGAGUCUGGGUCCCCCACUACCAGGGGAUCCACAAAGCCUUACUUGAGCGGUCCUGAAUUCACCCGCCCCUCCCAGCGUGGAGACAGUGUCUCUCCGCAAGCUCCCAGCACCGACCUCGCGACCCAUAUUCCAUCCCACCACCCCGCCUCAAAGCGAAGAGGUGGGCACCUGGGACACGCGUCCUGCUUUUUCUGUCUGGGCUCUCCUGUCUCCUCCACUUUUGCCCCCGACGUCCCAGGACUGCGGAGCAGGACGUGGCAUCAGCCCUGGGAGAACGAAGCCUGUAUGCCUCGAGCGCGCCCAGGGCGCAGCAAGGAUGCUAAGGGACAGCAAUAGCCGGGAUGCAGAUCUCCAGCUCAAAUCCCUGGAAAGGAUACCCCCCUCUCCUUCCUUCUGUCCCCUUUUCCGCUUCAGUCGACCCGACUCCUCCCCAGCCCAGACGCCUUGCUCAGCGCUCCCUCGCUCGCCACUUUGCAAGGAACUUUGCCCGGCUUCUCCGCGCCACCAGGAGAAGGAUGUUAAUGAGGGAGCGUGGCCUGGCUCCGUGAGCAAGACAGAUCCUCAGCGGCGAUUGGCUGCGGCGAGGCGGAAGAAUGACGUUAUGCAAAGAAGGGGCGGGGCUUUGAGGCUUGAGCCCCGCCUCCUCCCUUUGGGGUUAGUGUGCCUGUGUUUAGCUCUGGGGAGAGUCAAACUGGAUUCCAUAGGGAAAGCCUGCAAAUCACUUCUAUUUUAGCAAGGAGAAAACAGAAUCUCCAUCCAGCAGGGUCCACCCCUCUCUCUUUCUCCCUGUCCUCUCUUUCUAUCUCUCUCUCUCUUUCCCUCCCCCUUCCUCUUUCCCUUUUUCCCCCCUUCCCCCCACCCUCUCUGGUGUAGCUGUCUACGGCAACCAGCGUCCUCCUCAUCUACACGCACUGAAAGGAAAGAAACAUCUUUGGUUGGGAGAGAAGGAGGGGGAAAAAAAAAAAGAAAGGAAAAAACUUGCCUGGUUGUGGAAAAUGACACUUGAAGUAGCAAAGCCGGCAGCGCGAGUUGAGUCUAUUGUUUCUUAAAUUGCUAUCACGUUUUUUUUUUUUUUUCUUCCUGCUUGUUCAAGUGAAGGGUACCUCUACAAAAGGAAACUCCAGCCCCUCCUGUUCUCCACCGGCCUGUGAUCAC